GGUGGUAUAGCCAAGUGGUAAGGCAAUGGAUUGCAAAUCCUUUAUUCCCCAGUUCGAAUCUGGGUACCACCU
rnacentral:tRNA from 1 species